CCCCUCUCAGGGUUGCACCUGGAGAGUUUCCAGUACUGUCCCAGUCUCAACUACGGGAGGGAAAGUCAAGCAGAGCCAUAUACCCAUUCCAUUCCUCGCUGGCCAAUGGCUAGCGAGUGGAAGGCAAUCUGCUACAAGA